rnacentral:lncRNA from 1 species
AUGGGAUGCAGGACAUGGGACGGGACGUGGGACACAGGAUGUGGAAUAAGAGACAUGGAAUGUGGUACAUGGGAUGCAGGACACGGGACAUGGGAUGCAGGACACAGGAUGUGGUACAUGGGACACGGGCUGCAGGAUGCAGGACACGGGACGGGAUGUGGGAUGCAGGACUUGAGACACAGGACGUGGGACACAGGAUGCAGGACGUGGGACACGGGAUGUGGGAUGCAGGACAUGGGAUGCAGGACAUGGGACAUGGUACACAGGACGUGGGAUAUGGGAUGUGGGACAUGGGAUGUGGUGCGUGGGACACAGGAUGCAGGACGUGGGACAUGGGAUGUGGGACACGGGAUGCAGGACACAGGAGAUGGGGGACAUGGGAUGUGGGACUUGGGACAUGGGAUGAGGUACAUGGGAUGCAGGACACAGGAUGCAGGAUGUGGGAUGCGGGACAUGGGAUGCAGGACAUGGGACAUGGUACACAGUACGUGGGAUAUGGGAUGUAGGACAUGGGAUGUUUUGCGUGGGACACAGGAUGCAGGACGUGGGACGUGGCAUGUGGGACACGGGAUGCAGGACACAGGAGAUGGGGGACAUGGGAUGUGGGACUUGGGACAUGGGAUGAGGUACAUGGGAUGCAGGACACAGGAUGCAGGAUGUGGGAUGCGGGACAUGGGAUGCAGGACAUGGGAUGUGGUACAUGGGACAUGGGAUGUGGUACACGGGAUGUGGGACAUGGGACACAGGAUGCAGGACAUGGGACAUGGGAUGCAGGACAUGGGAGAUGUGGUACAUGGGACACGAGAUGUGGUACAUGGGACACGGGAUGCAGGACACGGGAUGCAGGAGGUGGGAUGUGGGAUAUGGGAUGCAGGACACGGGAUAUGGGAUGCAGGACACGGGAUGUGGUACAUGGGACAUGGGAUGAGGUACAUGGGAUGCAGGAUGUGGCACAUGGGACAUGGGAUGCAGGACAUGGGAUGUGGUACACGGGAUGCAGGACACAGGAUAUGGGACAUGGGAUGUGGUACAUGGGAUGCAGGACAUGGGACAUGGGAUGCAGGAGGUGGGAUGAGGGACACGGGACACGGGCUCGUGCGUGGCCCCUCAGGAGGCGAGGAGGAGGAGGAGGAGGAGGGAGGUGGUGGCGAGGUCUGAGGUGGGGGGGGGUCUCUCUCUCUCUCCCCUCCCCCCCCCCCCCGCAGCCUUCCUCACCAUGGCCCUCGUCCUCCUCCACACCUUCUGGGGGGUGAUUUUCUUCGACGCCUGCGAAAGGCGCCGCUUCUGGUGCCUGGGGCUGGUGGUGGCCACGCACCUCCUCACCUCGGGGCUGGUGAGUGCCCUCAA